CACGUAGGGCGCAAGCGUUGUCCGGAAUUACUGGGCGUAAAGGGCUCGUAGGCGGCCAACUAAGUCAGACGUGAAAUCCCUCAGCUUAACUGGGGAACUGCGUCUGAUACUGGAUGGCUUGGAUUUGGGAGAGGGAUGCGGAAUUCCAGGUGUAGCGGUGAAAUGCGUAGAUAUCUGGAGGAACACCGGUGGCGAAGGCGGCAUCCUGGACCAAUAUUGACGCUGAGGAGCGAAAGCCAGGGGAGCAAACGGG
rnacentral:rRNA from 1 species